ACAACAAAAAUCUGAAGAACAAGAUGAAGAAGGAAGUUGAGUAAAAACCAGAACAAUGUGAGAAACAGAUAAAUUGCCAUGAUUUCGAGAUCGAAGAACUAACGAGAAGAAGAAGUCCCGGAAUGUAAUCAACUUGGACAGGUAAAGAGAUUGCAGCCAUACAUAAACAUGUGCAGGCUUAGCAACGCAAACAUACUGAAAACAGGAUACACAACAUCCAUGUAAGAAACUUCAUUUGGACCAGAGAAGACGCCAGACAAAUGAGCCAACGUUGCGUAUACAAUGAACAACGACACGAAGCAACCCGUAAACAAUCCUGAAACCAACCAACAAUUCGAGAGCUCGAAAGGCAUACCUUAUCGGAGCUGAUAAAGGCCGACUUUUUCACUCCUUGAAGAUAGCUGGCUGACGCCUUUUGGUUCGCCACCUGUUCCACCAAAAACACGUAAAUUAUCCUUUAAUUCAGUGAUGUCCUCCAUUGAUUGGGGAAGAGAACCACACACCCUUUAUAAGAGAGCGUGGAAAUCUUCCACUAUAUUUGCUAGCGGUGGGCUUGACUAAGUUACGGGCAUAAUU